UACAGCCACAUCAUGUUGAAACACCAGUUCCCACACAAUCACUGAAGUUAAGCAACAUUGAGAUUAGUCAGUACCUAGAUGGGUGACCACAUGGGAAUACCAGUGUGCUGUAAG